rnacentral:tRNA from 1 species
GUUCUAGUAGCUUAACCAUAAAGCAUUGUUUUUGUAAACCAAAGCUGGGCCACAACCCCUAAAACA